CGGAGGAUCCAAGCGUUAUCCGGAAUCAUUGGGUUUAAAGGGUCCGUAGGCGGUUUAGUAAGUCAGUGGUGAAAGCCCAUCGCUCAACGGUGGAACGGCCAUUGAUACUGCUAGACUUGAAUUAUUAGGAAGUAACUAGAAUAUGUAGUGUAGCGGUGAAAUGCUUAGAGAUUACAUGGAAAACCAAUUGCGAAGGCAGGUUACUACUAAUGGAUUGACGCUGAUGGACGAAAGCGUGGGUAGCGAACAGGAUUAGAUACCCUGGUAGUCCACGCCGUAAACGAUGGAUACUAGCUGUUGGGAGCGAUCUCAGUGGCUAAGCGAAAGUGAUAAGUAUCCCACCUGGGGAGUACGUUCGCAAGAAUG
rnacentral:rRNA from 1 species